GUCGCAAGCUGGUGUAAAUGUUCAUUAUUAUGAGGACGAGUCUGCUCCAACGGGUACUUGUGCUGUUUGUGUUGUUGGUGGUGAAAGGUCACUUGUUGCUAACUUGUCAGCUGCAAACUGCUAUAAAUCUGAACACCUGAAGAGACCAGAAAAUUGGGCCUUAGUUGAAAAGGCCAAGUACUACUAUAUUGCUGGAUUCUUCCUCACUGUUUCCCUAGAGUCUAUCCUACUUGUUGCUCAGCAUGCAGCUGCAAAGAA